rnacentral:rRNA from 1 species
AUUGAACGCUGGCGGCAUGCUUUACACAUGCAAGUCGAACGGUAACAGGUUAAGCUGACGAGUGGCGAACGGGUGAGUAAUGUAUCGGAACGUGCCCAGUCGUGGGGGAUAACGUAGCGAAAGCUACGCUAAUACCGCAUACGAUCUGUGGAUGAAAGCGGGGGACCGUAAGGCCUCGCGCGAUUGGAGCGGCCGAUAUCAGAUUAGGUAGUUGGUGGGGUAAAGGCCCACCAAGCCAACGAUCUGUAGCUGGUCUGAGAGGACGACCAGCCACACUGGGACUGAGACACGGCCCAGACUCCUACGGGAGGCAGCAGUGGGGAAUUUUGGACAAUGGGGGCAACCCUGAUCCAGCAAUGCCGCGUGCAGGAAGAAGGCCUUCGGGUUGUAAACUGCUUUUGUACGGAACGAAAAGGCUCUGGUUAAUACCUGGGGUUUAUGACGGUACCGUAAGAAUAAGCACCAGCUAACUACGUGCCAGCCGCCGCGGUAAGAC